rnacentral:lncRNA from 1 species
AGGCAAAAGCAAAAUGGUAUAUUCUUCGGAUAAGUCUGCACAACAGGAUAUAUGUGUGAGUAAUGUAAAUUCAACUAAUUUUACCAUAGAGCUCGUUUUUCUAGUUUUGCUGCUAAAAUAAGUAAUUCUUUGGUAGUAAUACCACUUUAUGACUUGAGCUCAAAAUACUACCACCCUGCAAGUGAAUAGUUCUUAAUUUUAAGUCAGCAUGUGCAGGCUCAGGCUCUGUCUCUCUCUGGUGUGGCCACAAAUGCUGCAACUCGUGGAAGGAGUUGAAAGUUACAUGGACCUUGCAUGUGCCUUAACCUGUCAAGUGCAUAAUCUUUUUUGUUUGAAAGCGCAUACAUGUUUUUGGUUGUCUUGUCAAGUUGUGUGGAAGGAGUUGGAUUAUCACCAUAGUAUGAGUUGGUUGUCUUGUACUCUAAUGUUUUGACAUGUAAUGUCUCGGAGUUGGAUACCAAACGUGGGCCAUUGAAUAAGUGUAAUUUAUACACCUGUGAAUUGAUGUUUUUUCAUCCUUCGAAGACUCUAUAUUCCACCUGAUAUUUUGUUAAUUCAUGGCUAUUACUGCUUACAACCAUUUAUGGUUAUAUUCAUUUUUUAUUGUUUUGAUGAUA